UGUUAAAAUUUUCAUCCAAUUCUAUUGUUAAAAAAUGGUGUGGUUGAUGAAAUAAUCAGAUAGCUACAAGUGACACACCAUGUGUACCUCAUCUUGAAAGAUAAGGACAAAUUUUAACAGUAGAAAUAGAUAGAAUUGUUAAUA
rfam:Gossypium hirsutum cultivar TM-1 unplaced genomic scaffold scaffold3528.1, whole genome shotgun sequence